rnacentral:rRNA from 1 species
GAACGCUGGCGGCAUGCCUUACACAUGCAAGUCGAACGGCAGCACGGGAGCAAUCCUGGUGGCGAGUGGCGAACGGGUGAGUAAUAUAUCGGAACGUGCCCGGUCGUGGGGGAUAACGUAGCGAAAGCUACGCUAAUACCGCAUACGAUCUACGGAUGAAAGCGGGGGAUCGCAAGACCUCGCGCGAUUGGAGCGGCCGAUAUCAGAUUAGGUAGUUGGUGAGGUAAUGGCUCACCAAGGCGACGAUCCGUAACUGGUCUGAGAGGAUGAUCAGUCACACUGGAACUGAGACACGGUCCAGACUCCUACGGGAGGCAGCAGUGGGGAAUAUUGGACAAUGGGCGAAAGCCUGAUCCAGCCAUGCCGCGUGUGUGAAGAAGGUCUUCGGAUUGUAAAGCACUUUAAGUUGGGAGGAAGGGUAGUAACCUAAUACGUUGCUACUUUGACGUUACCGACAGAAUAAGCACCGGCUAACUUCGUG